UCUGGUUGAUCCUGCCAGUAGUCAUAUGCUUGUCUCAAAGAUUAAGCCAUGCAUGUCUAAGUAUAAGCAAUUUAUACAGUGAAACUGCGAAUGGCUCAUUAAAUCAGUUAUCGUUUAUUUGAUAGUUCCUUUACUACAUGGUAUAACUGUGGUAAUUCUAGAGCUAAUACAUGCUUAAAAUCUCGACCCUUUGGAAGAGAUGUAUUUAUUAGAUAAAAAAUCAAUGUCUUCGGACUCUUUGAUGAUUCAUAAUAACUUUUCGAAUCGCAUGGCCUUGUGCUGGCGAUGGUUCAUUCAAAUUUCUGCCCUAUCAACUUUCGAUGGUAGGAUAGUGGCCUACCAUGGUUUCAACGGGUAACGGGGAAUAAGGGUUCGAUUCCGGAGAGGGAGCCUGAGAAACGGCUACCACAUCCAAGGAAGGCAGCAGGCGCGCAAAUUACCCAAUCCUAAUUCAGGGAGGUAGUGACAAUAAAUAACGAUACAGGGCCCAUUCGGGUCUUGUAAUUGGAAUGAGUACAAUGUAAAUACCUUAACGAGGAACAAUUGGAGGGCAAGUCUGGUA
rnacentral:rRNA from 1 species